UACAGAAGAAUGCACGUGGAAGCCUUUUGGAUUUUUUAAAAGGGAACAAAGGCCUGAGAAGGUUGCCAGCAAAUAAAACAACAUCUGCAGGGUCUCCAGGAGGCGGAGCUUCCUGGGCCAGGAGCUGAACAAAGGAGCUGGAGAGGACCUGGCAAAAUAAGCUGUGGAGCAUGUCACUGGGGUGAAGCCAGAAAGUCUCUUUUCAGGGCUUUAACCAAGACAAGAAGGGGGAUAGUCCUGUCGCCUGUACUAGGUCUGCCAUCUAAAUGGUCCCCAAGGAAUGUUGAUAGAUGGGUGUCAUAACCACCAGUCAACACUUCCUGCUUGAAGUCUACUUUUCUGAAAUGAGGAUGGAAACCCCUGCUUGCUUAUACAAUCCAUAUAUGAGUGAUAUGUUUUUCCAAAUCUUUCACCUUCAGCCUGCGGAUGUCUUUGCUCAUGAGGUUUUCAUUUGGUUUGUCCAUCCAACAACAGAUUACAUUUACCAGUUUCUUUUGCAGUGGGGUAUGAUCAUGUGACCAAGUCUUGGUUAAUGGAACUUGGGCAGAUAUGAAGAAAGCUACAACCAGGUCAUUUCCUUCAAGGUAAUUGUCACAGACACUGUUCUUUCUCACUUCCCUUAGAUGUGGUGGUGAGCCACCAUGAACCACAUUGAUGGCCCCCAAGCCCACAGAGCCCACAGAGAGCCAAAGGAGAAAAGGAGCCAAUUCUUUAGAAGACCUUAAGGAGAAAUGUUGCUUGGCCUUCAGUUCUGACCACUCAUUACUAGACUGUAACAUAAGAAAAACAGAACAAAACUUUUAUCAUCUUUGAGCCAUAGGGUUAGACUGUACCCCAGUAAUACAGUCUCAGACUAUCCAUAAACUUAAUCAUAUCCUCUUAAAUGUUUCAAAUUAAAUUCAAGUCUAAUGUACUAGGUUUUCUUAUAUGUUAGAUUGCCAUCAAUGUUUUAACCUCUUUAAAUAACACACAGAUUAUAAUGAUGAUUAAACACU